UAUUCUAAGCAAGAUCAAUGAAGUAUGGGACAUAAACUAGUUUAGAUAAUGAAUCAUCUAAUGUAUUUUUAUACGCAAUGGGUUGUAAACGUGGUAUAGGUGUGACUGACAUUUCACACCGUUAUGACACAAUGUGCCUACACAUGUGCAUUUUACACGUAUGACUUGUUAGUCGGUUGUGUAUUUCUACUUUUAAAAUUCGCUAGCUAAGUGUGCAAUAUGCUAUUAGUUCACUGGCAGUUGACGAGUUCUGAAGGAAUUUUUUUCUGGGACCAAAGAUCCAGUAUCUUGGUACAAAGCUAUUCCGCGUGCAAAUGCUGAAAUCAAUCCUAGUGCUGCUUGCGGUUUGUCUGCGGGA